rnacentral:lncRNA from 1 species
AGUUAUCUGAGUGGGCUGGAUCUAAUCCCACGAGCUUAUUAAAAGCAGAGAGUUUCUCCAAUAGCAGAAGGGAAGUCAGAGAGAUUCUAAGCACAAGAAGAAUGGGAUGCACGUUCACUGGCUUUAAAGAUGCAGGAAGCAUUACAUGGAAAGGACUUGUGAACAGCCCCAAGGAGCUCAGAGAGACGCCCAGCCAACGGCCAGCAAGAAAACAGGAACCUCAGUCCUGCAACCACAAGGAAGUGGGUUCUGUCAACAACCUAAGUGAACCUGGAAGUCGAUUCCUCCCUAGAGCCUCUGGAUGAGAGCCCAGGCUGACCAACACCUUGAUUUUGGCUUCCUGACAUCCUAAGCAGAGAUCCAGUGAAGCCUGCCCCAGAUGGCUAACCUACAGAACCCUGGAUAUAGGUACCAACGAGACCCUGGGGAAGGGGAGAGCCCUGAGAUGGAAGGAGCCUGGGUCCCUGAAUCACCACGUGGAGGAAAGCCACUGACCAAUCAGGAACGCUCGUCUUGGUCUGUUAUGUGACUAAGAAAUAAAUUCCUAAGGUAUUUGAGCUAUUAUACAUUUGGGAGUCUAUCUGUGACUGCUUUUUAGCUUACCCUUCAUAAUACACAUCCCUCUUUGGCCCCCAGUG